rnacentral:rRNA from 1 species
UAGUCAUAUGCUUGUCUCAAAGAUUAAACCAUGCAUGUUUAAGCACAAACUUUUACACAGUGAAGCUGCGAAUGGCUCAUUAGGUCACCCAUGAUUUCUUGGAUUGUACAAUCCUACUUGGAUAACUGUGGUAAUUUUAGAGCUAAUACAUGCAAGCAAGCUCCGACCCUUCGGGGAAAGAGCGCGUUUAUUAGAUCAAAACCAAUCGGGCCUUUGGGUUUGUACGUUUGGUGACUUUGGAUAACUUUGUGCGGAUCGCACGGGCUUGACCCGGCGACGUAUUUUUCAAGUGUGUGCCCUAUCAACUUUUGAUGGUACGUGAUAUGCCUACCAUGGUUGUAACGGGUAACGGGGAAUCAGGGUUUGAUUCCGGAGAGGGAGCAUGAGAAACGGCUACCACAUCCAAGGAAGGCAGCAGGCGCGCAAAUUACCCCCUCGCGACACGCGGAGGUAGUGACGAAAAAUAACAAUACGGGACUCAUUUGAGGCCCCGUAAUUGGAAUGAGUACACUUUAAAUCCUUUAACGAGGAUCCCUU